rnacentral:rRNA from 1 species
UACGUGAGGGGCGAACGUUGUUCGGUGUCACUGGGCUUAAAGGGCGCGUAGGUGGUUGCGUAAGUAACGUGUGAAAUCCCUCGGCUUACCCGGGGAAUUGCAUGUUAUACUGCGUGGCUUGAGGAUCUCAGGGGAAAGGGGAACUCCAGGUGUAGCGGUGAAAUGCGCAGAUAUCUGGGGGAAGGCCGGCGGCGAAGGCGCCUUUCUGGGAGAUUCCUGACACUGAGGCGCGAAAGCGUGGGGGAGCAAACAGG